GUGGGGAAUCUUCCGCAAUGGACGAAAGUCUGACGGAGCAACGCCGCGUGAGUGAUGAAGGUCUUCGGAUUGUAAAGCUCUGUUAAUCGGGACGAAAGAGCCUAGUGUGAAUAAUGCUAGGAAGUGACGGUACCGGAAUAGAAAGCCACGGCUAACUACGUGCCAGCAGCCGCGGUAAUACGUAGGUGGCAAGCGUUGUCCGGAAUUAUUGGGCGUCAAGCGCGCGCAGGCGGAUCUGCCAGUCUGUCUUAAAAGUUCGGGGCUUAACCCCGUGAUGGGAUGGAAACUACAGAUCUAGAGUAUCGGAGAGGAAAGUGGAAUUCCUAGUGUAGCGGUGAAAUGCGUAGAUAUUAGGAAGAACACCAGUGGCGAAGGCGACUUUCUGGACGAAAACUGACGCUGAGGCGCGAAAGCCAGGGGAGCGAACGGGAUUAGAAACCCGUGUAGUCC
rnacentral:rRNA from 1 species